GAUAUCACUUGGUGAACUGAGCGUUCUAGUCUUCUAUUAGACUGGAAAUUUAAUGCAAGCUUUUUAUAAACCAUAUUCUCAAAGUUUUUUUGCAGGUUUCCCUUACUUCAUUCAUAUUGAGCCCUUUUGGAGCGUGAAUCUGUGAGUUUCAGUUUGGUUUUAAUUGGGUCACCCUCGCCUUCCCCUUUCUUUUUUUUUUUUUUUUUGCCCUGCCUUUCUGUAAAACCCAGCCUAAUUAGACCUACAACAUUGUGAAACUACCAGAAACAUAUUGUAUCAGCCCUGCCUCAAUUUCAAUUGAUGUUCUGUUUUUCUUUUUUUUUAGUUUAGAUUGUAUAAGCUAUGUAAUGACGUUUACUAUACUGUUGUAGUCAUUAAUGGCCUUGCAUGGGAUGGCUUGAGACUUUAUAGCAGCACAGACAGAAAUGGAUAAAAGGUUUUAUGGAAAUAAAAGAUUCCUGAAGGCGGAGAAAGCAAGACCUAAUGACUGUUGUACCAGCUGUUCCUCAUUACCAAGGUCACUGGCAUUGGGACCAGCUGAGAUAUGCUAAGUGGUUUAAUGCCUUUAAAAAUGGCCAUGAGGCCUUCCUGUCAGUUUUACAUUCACUGACACCAUUAACUGUCUGAAGUGCACAGCAAAAUCUUAUUUUCUUUAAUUAUCCUCAUUUGAGCUGGUUUCCCGCAAGGGCUGUGUCAGAAAAUGGCAAAUUUUCACUGCACAUACAUGACAACUGUAUAUUUACGUUACACUGGGCUGUUUUUGAGCUUUCUCAUGAUUUCCAGGGUUGCAUGUCUCUCACAGUAAUUACAGUAAGAGGCAUACUUAAUGUUUUUAUUAUAUUUUUGAAAAAUAUUUCUUUUGUUAUGCAUCAAAAACAGCACCAAGCUCAAAGAACACAUUUGCUCCCCCAAGAACCUAUUAGGUUGUCAAACAUCAAAAGUCAUGUUCAGUUCUUACACAGCAACAGCCAAUCUUUUUUAAAUUGUUGUAGCUCAGAGUGGGGCAAAAAAACUGUUCCACCAUAUACAGAAAACGAACAAGAAAUCUGAGCUUAAUGUUUGGACCUAUGUGAGUCCUGUGGGGGCUCGGAGGGCAUCAGCAGAAUUAACUCAUUUGCCCGCAUUUACCAGGAGAGAGUAAGCACCUAAUCCUAGCUUGCAUUAUUAAAGAUGAUAGCACAGUGGUUUCUGUAAGACCACCUCACUGAAUCAAAGUUUUACAUGGGCUGAUGAUGUAUGGAUAUAUAAUUCAGUGCACUGCAUAGGCUUUGGGACGAUGCUGCUUUUUUUUUUCUUUCCUCCCAGGCCAGCCCACUGCCUUCUCAUUCACAGACACAUGCAUGCAACAAACCACUCCUUAACCCCUGGAGGGCACCUGUGUUUUCAAAGUAAAGACCACUUAAAGAAUAGCCCCAGGCGUCUGAAUGCUGAAGUGCCCUGCGUUACACAUUAGAGGCUGCUGUACUCACCAGAAAACAUAAACACUCUCAGUAGCCUUUGUCUCCUCUCAAGAAUAGCCCAAAUAUCUCAAAAUGGUGAAAAUGAAACCCAUUGCACAGACUUUAAUAUAAGUCAGAUAGUCUAGUGGGACAUACCCCAUUUAAUACCAGUCACUUGCUUGCACAGCUCAUUGGAUAGAAAAGGCAAAAGGUCAAGAGUAAGAAGCUGGUCUGUCCCCCAGUUUACUUUUUUAACUUGUAUAUCAAAGAAAGAAUGUGUUUGAACAUGCUUGCAUGAUUCUUUUUUCGCAAAAGUAUUGCAAUGAAAGUAUUGAAAGUAGUUGUGAUUUGCUGAAUGUUCACCACUACUCUUUUUUGUUUGGUGUAAAGGCAGAAACCCAUAAUCGUCUCAUCUUAAAUGAUGGCACAGGCAUAUGCUGCACCCAACUCCAAUACAUUUUCUUUUUUACCUCAAGUUUUUAAUGGGUGUGUCAGGCUUUGUUGAUAUUCAAAACGUAAAAACUGCAUUUUAAACUGAUUUGCACCAAAAUAAAAAUGCGUAUGUGCCAGACAUCCUUCUCUUUACAAGAGGGAGACAUGGAGUUAAAAAUUGCAUGUUUUCUUUAGUUUAGUGGGUUGAAAUAAGUUUAAUCAGGUGCCAGGAACAGAAACACAGAACAUACCGCCCAGCCUUUGGAGAUAGCCUCUUGUCAUAUGUCACCAUGAACAGUUUGAUUUAAAUCUUAUCAGAUUAACCAGCAGACAAAAAUGAGAGUUUUCAGUGAAGAAAGGAAAGUGUUAUCUAAAUUUUUAAUGAUCCCUCCUACAUGAUGGCUUUGUCUAUAUAUGUUGUGCAUUUGGAACAGUAGAGAUGUCAGCGUUGUUGUUGUCAUUAAAUCAGGUUACCCUUUUGUGCAUAAAUAGCCGGGGGAGACAUUUGAAUGUCUUGAUAGACGUAACUGUUCUGUCUCUAAAUGUGUUGAAAUGGAGGCGUGAGGAAUGGCAUCAUUAAGGUAAUGUGUUCAGGAAGCCAACGAGUUAUGCUCUAACCUCUGCUGCUCAGCUCGAGAUGCGGUAAAUGCACAAUGUAAGGUCAUCUCUUAAUCAGUGAGAUGCAGCACUCACAAACAUACGCACACAAUACUUCAAUUACAUUAUGAAAUGGCUCCCAAAUGAGUCAUAUGACAUGUCUAGCGGGUUUUGUUCUUGCAGCGGUUGUGUAUUGUAAGAGAAAAUGUGUAUUGUGUAGGGGAUUUGUUUGUGCAGUUAUUGCAUAAAAACUAUCAAGCCGUUUUAAUGUUCCAGCCAUGUAGAAUGCUGUUGUAUUAUCUUUUGAAACAGGAGAUAGUCACUUGUCUAUGCAGACCAGAAGAGCUCUAUAGUUCCUGUUCAGCAAUUACUCUGAAUACCAGAAGCAAAGACCAUGAGAAGGAGGCCUUAUGUUUUUUUUUUUUGUUUUUUUUUGUCCUUGCCCAUGACGCCAUCUCAGUGAUAUAACCCUCAGCUUUUUCUCAAUCACUUCAGAUUUUCCUUGUUAGCCCUCAAGCCAGAGUCAGCAGCAAUGUUUUUUCCAUAAACCAAUAUCCUAUGAAUUCUCUUGUCCCUGAGUUUGGAGGCAAUCGGCACUAUUGUGACCACGCACUCUCUUGUCACUAUGUUCUGCGGUGUUUGUUUUGUUUGGUGAGUUUUCUGUGAUGAAUUUCACCUCUCACUCUUGCCACCAGAGUUGACCAAUGAGUCCUUUGACUGCAUUGCCUGUGGUGUUUUUCUUUAAUAAGUCCAGAGGUGAGGCAAAGCAAGCAGACCAUCAAUCAUCUUGCCAGGAUCUUACACUCAGAUUGCUACAGUUGCCUGCCUCUUGAACGAGUCAUAUUCCACAUGCAAUGAUUUACAUUACUUAGCUAAAAUCCUGUAUUGUCAAGAUCGCUGUGCACCUUUUCGUUUUACCUGACACCAAUAAUUGGGGUGCUUCUGCUAUAUGUUUGUAUUUUAAAUACUCCUUUUAUGUUUUUUAGGCUACUGAAAGGUGCCUUUGGAGUUAAACUUUGCAAAUGAACCCACAUACAAAUGCAGAUAUAACUCACCUUCUGAUCAGGACAUUUGUGUGGCCUCGUUCAUCCUAUGGAAGUUCAACCUGAAAAGCAGCACUUGUGCCUUUGGGCCUCAGUUACACACCUCAGAAUGGAUCUUUAUUUACAACACAGAACUCGGAAACAGCUGGUCAAUCCAUUUAGCCUAAGGCCACUGAUUUGUUCGUAUUUACUACAACAGCCAGAGAAAAGCCAGGGUAUUUUUUUCCUCUCUCCUUGCUAUUGAUCCGGCGCUUAGAAAAUCUGCCCCGCUGUCUAAACAUUAUUGAUCCCUCCCCCUCUCAACGACAGGCUUUCGCACCAGUGUAUAAAGGGACUGGGUGAAUUGAAAUUUCAUUUCCAACAACUUGUUCCUGUUAUUUUUACCCUUUCUUUCAAUAGUUGGGAACAUGCGCUGGCGGGCCGCUACUCAGAGAGUCGAUAAGUGUUUGGCUCAGAGUGGAGACAAGGGAUAAAGGGCUGGAUCCUAACUUGAUGCUCGAGGCAAGAAAACGUCAGAAUGAUCAGAACCUGGCCUGAGAUCAACUUCAGCUGCAAAGGUCGUUACUGGCAGUUGUGGCCCCACAGCUGAAGAUCAUUUGGAUUAAGCAGAUCCUAUGAGCAGAUGCCAGAUUGUUACCUCACCCAGCACGGAUGCAGUCCAUGCUUGGGCUCGAGUUCCUCCAUCUCGGUGGUCAGUUUCCUCACUCCCUGGAUCCAAGAAACCACUUACUUCUCGCUCACCUGGCUGUCCAUGCUCCGGCCUCAUCUGCUCCUCUGCACAUCUCCUCCUGUAGAUAAGGAAACAUUGAGUCUGGAUCGUCAAACCACAAAACUCCACCACCUGCCAAUCUCAGAUUAUGUGGACUUGUGCACCUGUUCAAAGAUGUCCUCAUUCACCAUUAAUGGCUUGUAGCUCAGCAGGAAUGAACAGAGUAGAUGAAUCGCUGAAUUGUUUCAUGGAUGCGGGGGAGUUUUUGGUACCAUUUUUUUCUCAACUGUGUUGCAAGCCUGUGUGAUUUAUUAUUUUUACCCCAAGAGACAUCUGUUACACCAUUGCCUGUUUUUGUAAUGCAUCAUCAGCCAGAGGAAAAGUAAUAUUAUCCAGCCUGGGAUAUUGCACUCUGGAGUCUAAUAAUCUAAUGUAUACUAGGGUUGUUGUCAUUAAAGUGCCAGUGGAGGUGUAGGAAGAUGCUGGGUAGGCCUAACAUCGUUCUGUUUCUGAUUUCUCUCUAAUAUAUUUUUUUUUGGGGUGGGGGGGUUCCAAGUAUCUGCUCACACACAAAUUAUUAGACAACCACAGGCUUAUACAUGUAACACUUAAGACAGGUGUGUUAAACGAAGUGUUGGUCUUAUGAAAAGUGGAAUAACACUGAGCUCCAAGAAUGCUGUAACAACAGGGGCUUAAUGAUAUCAAACUUUUGUUUUGAGAUUAGGGACGUUCAGCUUUUUCGAAAUACCGUCUACUAAGUCACUGAUGCAGAAAAAUACAUCACUCUAUUUCUGUUACAAACUACAGAGUAAUAAAUCUUUAUUUAACAAUGUCAACUAAAGAAAGUGGGCCUCUGCUUUCUAUCCAAGUGACUCGGAUAGAAAAACCACGUGCAGGCUGUUAGGAGACAGACAGGAGACAUUGAUGCUAAUCAGCAAUCUCUCCAUGGACCUCCACAGCUCUGCAAGUGGCAGGCCUGCCUGCGUGCAAGUAUGCUUUAGUUCUUAUUAAGGAGCGAGGAGCCAGAGAUGCACCUGAAUAUUCAAGUGGGGUCUGCAAGGUGAAGGGCAAUACACGAUGCUGACGUUGGGCUCCAUUAUUCAUCCAUCUCAUGUGACAGCAGCGUUCUGUUUCCAUAGGUCAAAAGUGUCUCUUUCCAUUUUUAUAAAUCAAGGAACAUAUUCUUUUCUAUAUUAGCUUUUUCUAUACCUUCAUCAAGUUUGUCUUUUGUCUUCCAGCUGUAAUCUUAAAUUUGUUUUGAUUGACCUGCUGUCCCCACUUUCCACAUUAGGCCUUUCCCCCCCCACUGUGAUUGGUCCAGGUGUGCAAAACAAACUAGCCACAUCAUGAACCACUACCAUCUAUUCCUCUUACUUAUUGGGAUUUGACUACAAGAGGAGUGCUGAUUGCUAGAGGAGAGCCAGCUGGGGAAUCAAAAUCUUCUAACCUUUGUUUUCCAUCAGAUGCUAUGGUUGCAGAGUUGGAAGACGGUCUGCUGAAGAUUUUAUCCCUGCGGGGACCUUGUCCUUGUGCAGACUACACGUACGGUUCUGGAAAUGACUUUGAUUGAGAAGAUUAUAGGACUCAAAGGACAUUCAAUUAUCAGUGAAAAUAACCAAAACAUGUGACCAUAUUGAAGCUCUGUAGUCUGGAUUGGGUUCCCCGCUGAAAAGGAAAUAGUUUUGAAGUCGAGUCAGAUUGCCCCAUGGACCAGUUUAAAAUAUGAAAAUGCAUAAAAUCAACAAAGGCUGCUGUAACUCCAUUAUCAUGAAUGUGCAGUUAGUGUCCUUGCUACUCCUUCUGUGUAGACUUACAUUUUUUCCUGAUUAUUUUAUGCCAGAUUAUUUUCAAAUUCUUGUACUUUUAGCUUUUAUAUUUAUUUUAUGUACUGAACUUAAGUUUAUCUGUUGUAUUUCUGUAUGUUGACAUCUACAAAAGAAGGCACGCUCCAGUCACAUACAACAACUGCUCCUAAAGUAACAUGCCCACAAGGCAAAACAGCCAAAAUCUUAAUGAGUCCAGCCAGAAAGAAAAGAAAUUUCAGCAAAAUAAAAGAAUAAUAAAGGUAUCAAACCCUUAACAAGUCUGCCUUUGUUCUUCCACUCCACCCACCACAAGCAGGCAUCGCUGCAGCUCUGAGGGCAGCUCUGAGAGUUCCAUGCCCACCGGCCUUCAAUCACAUGGGAUGUCUGAGUUUGACAGUAUAAAGUCUUUCUUCUAGAACAAAAUAAGACCCCUAAGCAAUAGUGGAUGAGCCGUUAGUAACUAUGCACUCCAUAGGGAAGUAGAUCAAGCUUGGUAGUACAGUACACACAAAGUGCUGGUUAGGGAUAAAACAAUGGACCCUUGAAGACAGGACUAGAUGCCACAACACUCCCCCGAUUCUUGCCGUCUGCUUCUCUGCAAAUGUAUCGUUGUUCUUUUUAAACUGACAUGUAAAACAAAGUAGCACUUUUAAUUUGUAUAUUAAAAGCGUUAACUAUGUCAUCUUACACUGUUUCGAAGAUGCAAGUGUUGUCUUCUACCAGCAUCACCCGGUCUUUCUGCAGAGCUGAGUACGAGAUCAUAGAGGUUAUGAGGAUGUUUUUUGUUUUUUUUUAAAGGGUAGCAGUGAGUAAGUUGUUCACUUCCUAGGAUGGAUUGAUUUAGUCUUGACACCAAGAUGUUUCUUCUUGUUGCUGAGUCGAUAUUCUACUUACUUCCAGCAUUACAUUCAAUCUUCCAACACUUUGGGUGUCUGAAGAGCACCAAGUAUUAUUAUUAAUACAAUGGAACUUUGCACAAUAUCGUAUUUAUAUGUGGUCUCCAUCCGGCUAUAUGUUACAGUGGAAAUCCUACAAAGGGUCAGCUAUUGUCUUGAAAUACUUGAACUUGUAAUAAACAUGAGAAUGUGUUUCUUUUUCAUCAAAACUACAGGUAGUGUUGUUAUUGUUUGGUUUCUGACUGACAAUCUUUUAUCAGCACCAACUCAUGCAAUGUGGGGAGCAUCACUGGCCCAGAGCUCAGUCACUAUGAUUAUGGUAACACUUUGACACAAUGAUGACACAGCUAACCCCCAAGGAGGGGAAUUCAACCCUAGGAACACCAUUAGCAUGGUCAAGCAUGGUGAUGAGAAUAUCAUUCUUGUUUUUAUGGCCAAUACGACAAGCCACCCAAUCAAUAUAUACUGUAUUGCCUAAUGAAAAAAGAAGACUGUCAAGAUCCUCAGCAACAUCAAGCACUGUGCGAAGAAUCUCGGUCUUGGGCGGGAGUUAAAAAUUAGGGUGAUUGCAAAGAGGUUUUCCAACCCAAAGAAUUGGAAGUUAACACAAUGAACGGUCAACGGGAUUACUGAAAACAUGCAGGUUUGUCAGAAAUGAGAAGUGUUCGAUUGCUGUAAAACUAUUAAGAUGGUGCUCCAUAGUUUUCCAGUUUGUUACCUUAAGACCAGACUCCUACAACUGAAUGAGGCUUGUCGACUAUUUUGGCCAUGUGACUCUGGAGUGUUUUAAAUUAAUUCAUAACUCGCAAAAAUAACUUAUUGAAGAUGUGAACGGAGACGACAAAAUACUUCAGUAACAAGGUGUUCAGUUUGUGCUGGGAAAUCACAAUUUGUGACUUUUAAGUUGGGAAAGUGUAAAGGACCACCCUGAAGUCAGAAUUCCUGAUUGGAAAGCUCAAUGUCCCAAUCAGGCCCUAAAUUCAAUAUCCAAUAGACCCACAAUAGUCGUCAAACCCAAGUGACAGCAAGGAACAAAGGUUGUAAGUGGUGUGUAUCUCUGGUGUCGUAUUUUAAAGGUAUACUAUGCAACCGGGGUUGCCUCCAGCGAGGCUCCCCCCAGAGGGCGAAAGUAAAAGUG